AAUUUGUAUCCAUUUGUGUUCAAAAGAUAUUCAGUUUCUAAUAUGGCUAUUUUCAGAAUCUACAUGCUUUUAUGCUACCUUAUACCUCUACAGAUACUGCAAUUGUUGAGCAAAGCCUUUCCGUCGUAUUUUCGAGAUUUGUAUGUUACGAGUAUGCGAAAAUUCAAUUUGGUAACGCGUUUGGUGCAACUUUACAAACCAUAUGUUCUAUUCAAGGGCAUCUUUGAUGACACUAACUCAGAGAGGCUCCGAGGAAAAGCACAAGUAUAUAUAUACAUGCUUUUAUGCUACCUUAGCACAAAAAGCACAAUUAAUUAAUUAUAUUGUUAUAUGUUCUAUUCUUUUUUUUUUUUUGCUAAUUAAAUAAGAUCUUUUGUUGUGUUGCAUUUUAUUUGCUUGCCUUAGCAUGCAUUAGCCUAAAUACCAUUUUAAUUAUUGGCACGAUUACCAUUUUGGUAAUAUAUUUUAUUUGUUCUAAAAGAAAUAUAAUAAAUAA